CCCGGGGCCCGGCCCGUUCCCUCUGUCCUCUGAUACCCCGCGCUCCGGAGUGUGCCGCCGGAUCCUCGCUCCAACCUCGUCGCGUCCUAGCCCCCCGGGAUAGACCGGGCCGGCCCACAAACGCUGUGCCCGCACCCCGACUCCUGCUCCAUGCUUUUGGCAGUCAUGGGAGCGGGGGGUUGUGUAUGGGACAGUGGGCAACUCGCUGCAAAGCCAACCGUGUGCUCCCCCGCCGCGCCUGUGAGCUUCACGCCUCGGACAGCUCCUGGUGCACUUUCCCGCUCUUCCUGUCAGGAGGUGGUGCCCUCUGGGUACCAGGCCGCUCGUCCCGGGCCAAUCGCAAAGCGCUUAGAGCCGAAUGGGGCGGGACAGAGGCAAGAAAGGGUUGUCCCAAUUGGAGCGUUCGAAAGGUUCUGGGCAGAGGCGGGGAAGCGGUGAGUGGGGGCCUCGCCCCGCCUGCGGUCGCCAUGGUAACCGAGAGGGCGCAGCUGAGCGUUGGCGCCAGCACCGGGGCCUUGCGCUGUCCCUCAAUGGGUGACCAGUUAAGGUGGGAACCUGUGGUCUCACAUACUUGAAGUCUGAGCUGAGUGGACCUGAGUGCCAUAGACUUUCCAUUGAAAGGGGAAAUGUGUCAGAGAGAAGCGAGUCUGGGAGGAGGGAAAGUGCCUUCAGUCCAGGACUAAUUUCAAGGUUUACAACACUUUACACACUCUGCAACUGCUGAUAAUCCAGGGACUACUCCUUUGGCAGCGUUUGCUAUUCGAUGCCUCCAGAUGUACUGAAGCUGCAAAAACGAGCUCUUCAUUACAAAGAUACAUAUGUUUAGGAAGAGACUGGAUUUCACUUGUCAACUUACCCCACCACCACGAGUCAUUUAAUGUUGGUAAAGCCAGCCACGAUUUUUCGUAUCUAUAACACCCCUUCUUCCAUUGAAUUCUACCUACAAAUAACUGAAGGCUCACAUUAUUUUGGAAUAUGGACCUCCGCCUCUUGUGGAGACGAGAUUUCUCUUAAGCUGAUUUCCCAAAAAGGGGCUGCAAUGUGUGUUCCCGAUUCUAGAUUCAUUGAGCUCACCCUAGAUGAGUCCUUUGGUUCGGUGGUUCGGAAAAGUCUCUUUGUUCCUUCUCCAAACUCAGUAAGCUGUCUUACCUGAAACCAAAAAUAGGGGUAUGAGGAUAUGAAAAAUGGCUCUAACUCUGCAGGGUUUAAUGUAGGACAAGCAGUUCUUUAAAUGCCAGAUGGAUUCUUGGAAUGAAGCAGGCUACUCGGUUCCAGGUUCUUUCCUUCAUAUGUUGUGUGUACUUUUAAAUACUCCCCACUGCAAAGCUAAUAGCUAAGCUUACAGUUAGGCAAGCUAAAAUCCUUACAAACUGCACAGCUGCUGAGGAGGGAGUUCCAAAAAAUCCACUCUGCUUACUUACCUCCAAAGAAGAACCCCCUUCAUGUUCAUUAAUAUUCUCUGCUCUUCUAUACCCCAUUGAUAUGUCAAGUUUCCAAUUCUUCUUUGAAGCCCCCAUUAUGGGUUACUUAUAAUCGUCAUUGAUUGGGUUUUUUCUUUAUUCUUAAUUUGUUUUUUAAAGCUGUCACCAAAUUCUUAAGCAUUUUUGCCAAAAGGUGCAGGAGCAAGCGGUCAACCUUUCAUAAUUCUCCAACGCUGAGGAUGCAAAACUACAGAAUUCUAACUGAAAGAUGCCUUAAAUUCUAAGAUUCCUUCCAGCUGUAAAAUUAAAUAAUCCUGUGACUCACUAUUAGGACUCCUCUCUGCCCUCCUUCUAGACUCAUAAUCUUGACUAAUCAGUCAUGAGGAUGAGGCUAAUUAGCAAUGGGGAUUUAUGGUUAUUUCUAGCCCACUCCAAACAAUGAGUUAUGUAAGCAAAGCAACAUAUAUAAAAAUGUAAAUAGGCCGGUGGCUCAUGCCUGUAAUCUCAGAACUUUGAGAGGCCGAGGCAGGUGGAUCACAAGGUCAGGAGUUGAGACCAGCCUGGCCAACAUGGUGAAACCCCAUCUCUACUAAAAAUACAAAAAAUUAGCUGGGCUUGGUGGCAGGUGCCUGUAAUCCCAGCUACUCAGGAGGCUGAGGCAGGAGAAUCACUUGUACCCAGGAGGUGGAGGUUGCAGUGAACUGAGAUUGUGCCGCUCCCCUCCAGCCUGGGCGACAAAGUGAGACUUCGUUUCAAAAAAAAAAAAAAAAAGUAAAUAAAAUUAAAUUAAAAAA
rnacentral:sRNA from 1 species